rnacentral:rRNA from 1 species
GAACGCUGGCGGCAGGCCUAACACAUGCAAGUCGAGCGGAAACGAUGGUAGCUUGCUACCAGGCGUCGAGCGGCGGACGGGUGAGUAACGCGUGAGAAUCUACCCAUGAGUGGGGGACAACCCGGGGAAACUCGGGCUAAUACCGCAUACGCCCUACGGGGUAAAGCAGGGGACCUUCGGGCCUUGCGCUGAUGGAUGAGCUCGCGUCGGAUUAGCUUGUUGGUGAGGUAAAGGCUCACCAAGGCGACGAUCCGUAGCUGGUCUGAGAGGAUGAUCAGCCACACCGGGACUGAGACACGGCCCGGACUCCUACGGGAGGCAGCAGUGGGGAAUCUUGGACAAUGGGGGCAACCCUGAUCCAGCCAUGCCGC